rnacentral:lncRNA from 1 species
GCAAGACUCCGUCUCAAAAAAAAAAAAAAAAAAUGUAGUCUGACUCUUUACUGACUCUUUAAUUUCUUUUUUAGGCAGACAUUAAGUGUUUACUAUAUCCCCUUCUAUGGAGUAACAAGAAGACUUAAAAAUAUAAAUAAAAGGUAAAAACUGUAGGGAGCCUCAAUUUGCUUUUCUCCUCACUUCUCUGACCUUCUCCUACAGAAACGCAGGUAAGGUUCCUGACAUAACAAAAACAUAUAAAUUAUAGCAUAGACAGGAAAAAAUAUUUUCCCUAUUAAGGCCAAGGAUCGAUAUCCCAAUAAGACCUAUCUAUGAGGGUUCUAUAUAAAUAUAACUCAGAAAAAUUCUAAUAGUAGAUACAAAUUGCAAAGUACGACUUAUUUAUGAAAUUUUCUUGUCUUAGGGCAUUAUUAAGGAAUUAGAGAGUGUUUAAUACAACAAAAUUGUAUUAAAAUAUUUAUAUUCACAACCACCACAUAUAGUAAUCAGGUACUUAUUGUGCACUCUCUCUAUAUUCAACAUUAGGAGAGAAGAUUUGGGGUAUACAGAAGAAAUAUGACAAGAUAAUUAUCAACCCUCAAAUAACUUGUAAUCUAGUUACAAAGAUCACACUAUCAUACAAAAAGUAUUAACAGAGAGAAAUAAGACUAGCUCAUAAUUAUGUGCUAAAUUAUGCACAGAGCACAUAUAAAUUUAUGAAAAGAGGCAUAUAAUUGAAGGCAUGACUAGUUAGGAAAAGUAGCAUGGAGAAGACGUGUCUUAAGGCCGAAACUGUGGAAAAAAGUUACUAUAGACCUUAGUUGUAUCUUCAGAAAUAUAGGUGGGAACAUGCUAGAUACUCCCUUUAGUGACUGUUUAAUGUUAAUGUUUGCACACAGGAGGCCUUUAUGGCUCACCAAAUCUACAGAGAUUUAAAUGUUAUGCAACAGUUUAUUUUUGAAACCCUAGCAGGUACCAUAAUAAUUUUAUGUAUAAAAAUAGUUUUAAGAUCACUGAUUUGUUUUAAUCUGUUUGUUGAAGACAGCGUACUCAGCAAUUUUCAGCAUAAAUGAAUAAUAUCCAUAUGCCUAAAAUAUUUUUUGUACCAUAUCAGAAUAAAUUUUGAAUUCAGGCUCAUAAAACUCUUACAAAAUGGGGCAUACUUUGAAGUGGAUAUUUCUUAAACUUAGAGUAAAUCGUGUUCCUGAAAAAGGCACUGAAAUAAAAACUAUGUGGAUCUAGAAAGGAUAUGUCACUGGUAGACGGUUGUGACUGCAAGUUCUCCAGGUUCUUGGAGUUUUAAACGAACAAUUGCACAAAAGGCCCAGCAAAGCAAAGAAAGAAUGAAGCAACAAAAGAACGAAAGCAGGCAUUUAUCGAAAACGAAAGUGCAUUCCAUAGUGUGGGAGCCUGCCGGAUACAGAAUAUUCCUGGGUCCAAAUAUCCCCUAGAAGUUUCCCAUUGGCCACUUCAUGCUCACCUCAUGUAAAUGAAGUGGUAGCCCACAAUCAGUCUGAUUGGUUGCAGAGAACAGCCAACCAGAGGCUGAAGUGAAGUUACAAAGGUCACACUCCUAUGCAAACAUCUGAUUGGUUGCAAAAAGCAACCAAUCAGAGGCUAGGGUGAAGUUACAAAGUUAUACUUCUAUGCAAACCAAGACUCGGCCCGCAAUCAGUCUGAUUUUUUGCAGACAGCCAAUUUCUCAUCUGCUUCAUAGAAAAGGUUAAAGGGAGUAGCCUCUGGUCCUUUUGUUACUUAGGCGUGGAAAGUUAGGGAUUUCCUUUCAAUUUAGUUAUAGGAAGUCGGCGUGAAACAGCUUUAAGUUCCCUGCCUCCAGAACCUAUUCUCCUGCCUCAAUUGUGCAAUUAGGGGAAAUGUCAUAAUGAAGGGCGGCAUCCCCUAUUAUGGACUUUCAUUCACUCAACCAUUCAUCUAUUUAUGUAUUAAAUAAUUUGUUCUGUGCUAGUGCUGUGCUAAGUACUAAUUAUAAAAUGCUGAAUAAAACAGACCUUGCUUUUACCCACAGGGAGUUGAGUCUAGUUAGAAAGGAAGAAAAUAAACAAGCAAACAAACAAAUAAAUGUAGAAUUAUGUAAGUUGCUAUGAGCUAUUUAAAUAAAAGGAGCCAAGAGAGAUAAUAACAAUGGAGGCCAGGGAAUCUACUAACCUAGGCUGCCUCAACAAAGACUUCUUAUAAGGAGGCGAUGAUUUUAAAAAGAAAAUUUUGUGAAAACCCUGUGAAACAACAUUGGAGUCAGAAGGGCCAACAGGUGCAUAUUCAAGGAAUGGAAAAGCCACUCUGGCUGGGGUAUAAGAAUAAAAUAAGAGAGUGGCAUGAAGUAAGAUUGAAGAGGCAGCAGUGGCUAAACGUCAUGGGCUGCCAUAAAUCACUAGGACUUUACUGUAAGUGCAUCAAAUGACAUUGUUGGGUUUGAAGAGGACAAGAGACACAACCUGAUUUACAUGCUAUAAAGAUUAUUCUAGAUUAUUUCUAGAGAAAGAAUUAGAGGGAGAUGAGAGAGAACAGGCAUAAAUCCAGUGCUUGUCUUCAUAUCAAAUAAACUAAAAAUUGUAUGCCUUUACUUCACAUGGCAUGAUGCUUUUGGAAAUAUGUUUAAUGAAUGGGGCAGUAGAGUGACCCCUGGAAUGUAAAGUCUAUGAGAGCAGGGACUUUGUUUCUCUUACCAUAUAUAAGAGGUACUUAGCUUAAUACAGUACCUAGCAAUUCGUCAAAAAUAUUUGCUGAAUCAAUUAACUCAUAAGUGAAUAAUAUAAUUUUGAUUUAAUGUUAGUUAUAUAAGUGAUUUCUAAAAACAAUGACUAUCACUUGAAGAAAAACUGUGGUGUCUCAAUGCAGCAGAAUUUUUAAAACAUUCUAUGCAUGGGGGUAGGAUCAAAUAAUGUCAAAGAGAAGGAUGAGAACAACUUUACUUUAAAAGGAAGAAAAUAGUACGCGAAACAUCAAGGAAUCAUACAACUUGUGUACUGCCUAUUAUAAAUACAAAAGUUAGUAACAUGAGUAUAAUAGACAAAGCGGUGUAACUGUGCAUUAUUCUGAAGUUAAUUGCUCUGAAAUAAGAAAUGCUUGUAUUAGACUGGUGCAAAAGAGAUUGCGAUUUUUGCCAUUAAAAGUAAUGGCAAUUACUUUUGUCCCAACCUAUAACAAGGUCAGCAGAAGAUUACAACAAAGGAAAAACUAGGAAGCAAAAAUGAUUCCUUGGCAACAUGUAUAAUAAACACAAUUACUGGAUAUGCUGUACAUUUUUUUUUUUUUAAAAAAGGGGAAAGGAACCCAAACAAAACACUAUCCUUAACACGUCAAACAUUAAUUAGUUGACUUGUCUAUCCUAACAUUAUUAUCUAGUUAGCAUUUAUCUAGAAAAAAGACAAUAGUUUUCUACAUAAACAGCUUUUCUUUAAAAUGUUUUUACUAUUUUCCCAUAUAUAUAGUGAUUUUGAAAUCUAUUAAAUGCUAUAACUGAGAUUGCAAGCUUUGCAAUACAUAUUGGAAUUGAUAAAAAUGUACAAGAAUCUAAUGUGCAUAUCUGUACAAGAUCCACUUUCCAACACAGUAAUAAUUAAGGAAUUAAUGGCAAAUAUCAGAGUUGGCUCACAUUUAGCACUAAUCAUUUGUUAAUGCUCCCUAAAUCUAUGGGAAUAUAUUUAUAACAAAUAGAAAGGUGCAGCUCAAAAACAGUUCCAGCAUCUCCACAAACAUCAGUAACUAACACAACACAAAGAGGAAACUGAAUAUAAUACUCAACAAAAAAAAUUUCCAUUUUAAAAGUAAGGAAUACAAACAUUUCAAGACUAUUAUGGCUCAUAUGGUUGCUAAUGCAACCAGUACUAUGUUUCUUGGCAAAUCAUUUACCAAUGUCAUUUGUUGCCACUUCUCAAAAUUAGGAUUCCACAGUUUAAUGGAUCUAUGCUUCAAGUGGAAAUCUGUAAUUUGAAAGCACAGCAAGUGCAGUCUUGUUCACAGCAUCACAAAUCUGUGGACCUGUAGUUUUGUCUAUGACACAACAAUGUGCAAUGUUGUAAUCUAUUAGUUCUGCCUUGCUUCUGUCCUUUCAAAUGAUUUUCAGCAGUGAAGACUUAUAACAUCUGUAUUAUUUUUGUGUUUAUAAUGAAACACACACUCAUUUUAGACUAGCUCUUAUUAUAAAUAUGACUCUACUCAUAACAAUGCUUUGGUUAUGAAUAAGUUUUCUAUAUAUUCCUGGAAGAGCAACAUCUUCAGGCUUAGAUCAGAUUUGUUUUUCAUGUUCUGGGGAGUUUUCUGGGACCAUAAUAGAUGUAUAAUGACUCAAGACUUACGUCUACUCAUAGAUUGUCUCUUGAUUUCUUUUCAGUGAAGUCCUAUUCCCAUGUUCCUUUACCUUGAACAACAUUUCAUACAAUGCACAGGUACAAAGGUAUUUGAAAAAACUCUCUCCUCAGCACUACAGGUGUGUAUACCAAAUUGACCAUUUUUUAGUUUUUAUAUUCGAGGACCUUUUAGUAUAACUUAUUGCAUCAGAUAUGAUUAGAAUGCAUUUUGGGGGAUAUGAAUACAUAAUUUAGAAGCAGAGUCGCUUUGAAUAAUUUUUAUCAAAACAAUAAUUUAUUGCUUGUAUAGUAGUAUAAGUGUAAUUUGAAUGCUGAAGGUUUAAUUGCAUAAAAAUUAUGUGAGGGUGAAAGUUUACAUUGUCGAAAUAUAAUAAUUAGAAAAUUGUUUAAAUAAAACUAUGGGUGCUAUUUACAUUCUAAAACUAACAAAAGGAUUGUGGUUAGAGCCAGCAAAUCUGCUGCCCAAAUGUCAACUUUCAAGAAAUGAGGUAAAAUUCAAUAAAAAGCAAGAUUUCUGUUUUAUAAUUAUUUACAGGGAACAAUAAAGCAAAAAUAAAGAUGCAAAUAAGCAGUUUAUUUGAUUUUCAAGCCGGCCAAAGAUCCUAACUGUCCAGCAUUGCUUUUUAUCUUAAAUUGAGAAUAAAAUAAGUAUUAGUGAAGACUAUAGAUACAGAUGGUACAGCAGUGGAUCAAAAAUCAAGAUGAUUAGGCUAGUAAGUGACUAAAUUACAAAGCAAGCAGUGUGAAUGAGACUUUGAAAAUGCAGAUCAGAGCUGGGCUCACGCCUGUAAUCCCAGCACUUUGGGAGGUGGGCAGAUCACCUGAGGUCAGGAGUUCGAGACCAGCCUGACCAACAUUGAGAAACCCCAUCUCUAUUAAAAAUACAGAAUUAGCCAGGCAUGGUGGCACAUGCCUGUAAUCCCAGCUACUCAGGAGGCUGAAGCAGGAGAAUCCCUUGAACUUGGGAGGCAGAGUUUGUGGUGAGCCGAGAUAGCGCCAUUGCACUCCAGCCUGGGCAACAAGAGCAAAACUCUGUUGCAAAAAAAAAAAAAAAAAAAAAAAAAAAGAAAAGAAAAGCAGGGGCCUUAUGACCUUAUUUUGCAGAUCAGUACAUUACAGAAAGCCAUGCAGGAGAAAAGCCAAUCAGCAUUCACUGAAUUCAAUCUUGAGCAUAUGAAGUUGUGAUGGAGUUAAGUGAAAAAAAUUAAUUGGCAUGCAGUUGGUUUAGACGAUUCACUUAAUAAGGAUGAGUUAAAAGGAUAUGUAGCAGAGCUAAACUGAGAAAGACUGAAGUUUAGGAUUAAAGAAUAGUAGCAUAUGUGGGAUAACAUAUCAAGACUCAAAUUUAAAAAUUGACUGUAUUCCUUUGCAUUGGACCUUAAAUCAAAGAUUGAGCUAUGAAGAAUUAUUAGAAUUAUUAGAAGGCAGGUUAUUAUUUCUAAAGCUUAGUAAUUGCUUUAGUGAAGAGCCACCACACUCUUGUUAGUAAAAUAAUUUUAAGCCUCUAUAACGCUCACUUGAUGUUACUAAAAGGGUAGAAUAUAGAAAAAAGGCCAAGUCUCUGGAUUUGAAAUUUCUUAGUGUGGGCCAGUAAUCUGCAUUUCAGCAAAUCCCCUUGUGAUUGUGAUAUGUCCUAAAGUUUAAAGAACUGCUGUGUACCUCCUUAAUGUAUUUAAUCUUCAAUAUAAAUGACCAUUCAUCAAAGAGGCUUGAGCAAAGGCAUGACACAAUCAAACCUAUGGCUUCCAUGUUAAAAAUAGUCUCUUGGAGCAAGGGUGAAAACAAAGAGACCAGUUUGGAAGCUACUGCAAUAAUCAAUGUGGGAAAUGAUGGUAGACUGGACAAAAAAAAAAAAGGCAGCAGCAGUGAUACUGUCAUUCUCUGCUUAAAGUCACACUGGUCAUCUAAUUCAAUUUACCGACAGUAAUGCACCCAAAGGUACUAGUCAAUGAUCUUUGGGUUACAUGUUAUAAAUUAGUAAAAAUAACAACAAAAAGGUAACUCAUUGUCUCAUGCAACUGAAAUGUCAAGAGUAAAUUUUUUUUCAGAAAUAAAGCCAUGCUGUAGUUUCUCAGUUUAUCUCUUGCUUAUUUCAUAUUGAUUCAUAUUUAUCUCAUAUCUACUUCUGUUUUUCUUGGCCCAUCUCUUUCCUGUUUAAUAAAGGCUUUCUCAGUUUGGUAGUGGGGGUUGGGAGAUGAUAUAUCUGCAGAUAGCAUCAGUUUUAUAUUUUUCUAGCCUGCAACCCUGAAGUAAAAAAGAAAAUCUUUCCCUGUGUUCAUAUAUGAAAUUUAAGAACAGGAUUUUGGUUGUCUUUGACACCCUUCUUCAGGAGAAUCAUUGAGGCCAAGGAGUUAGGGCAUUAAAAAUUGUCAGGCCAGGGUGGGUGUAUUAGUUUGUUUUCACACUGCUGAUAAAGACAUACCCAAGACUGGGAAGAAAAAGAGAUUUAGUUGGACUUACACUUCCACAUGGCUGGGGAGACCUCAGAAUCAUGACGGGAAGUGAAAGGCACUUCUUAAAUGGUGGCGGCAAGAGAAAAUAAGGAAGAUGCAAAAGCAGAAACCCCUGAUAAAACCGUUAGAUCUCAUGAGAACUUAUUCACUACCACAAGAACAGUAUGAGGGAAACUGCCCCCAUGAUUCAAAUUAUGUCUCACUGCGUCCCUCCCACAACAUGUGGGAGUUAUGGGAGUAAAAUUCAAGAUGAGAUUUGGGUGAGGAAACAGAGUCAAACCAUAUCAUUCUGUCCCUGACCCCACCAAAUCUUAUAUCCUCACAUUUCAAAACCAAUCAUGCCUUCCCAACAUUCCCCCAAAGUAUUAACUCAUUUCAGCAUUAACCCAAAAGUCCACAGUCCAAAGUCUUAUCUGAAACAAGGCAAGUCUCUUCCACCUGUGAGCCUGUAAAAUCAAAAGCAAGCUAGUUACUUCCUAAAUACAAUGGGGGUACAGGUAUCAGGUAAAUACAGCCAUUCCAAAUGGGAGAAAUUGGCCAAAACAAAGGGGUUACAGGGCCCAGGCAAGUCUGAAAUCCAGCGGGGAAGUCAAAUUUCAAAGCUCCAAAAUGAUAUCCUUUGACUCCGGGUCUCAUAUACAGGCCACGCUGAUGCAAAAAGUGGGUUCCCAUGAUCUUGGGCAGCUCCACCCCUGUGGCUUUGCAGGGGUGCUCCCUCCUGGCUGCUUUCAUGGGCUGGUGUUGAGUGUCUGUGGCUUUUCCAGGUGCACGGUGAAAGCUGUUGGUGGAUCUACCUUUCUGGGGUCUGGAGGACAGUGGCCCUCUUUGCACAGUUCCACUAGGUGGUGCCCCAGUAGGGACUCUGUGUGGGGGCUCUGACCCCACAUUUCCCUUCCACAUUGCCCUAGCAGAGGUUCUCCAUGAGGGCCCCACCCCUGAAAUAAACUUUUCCCUGGCGUUUCCUGGCAUUUCCAUACAUCUUCUGAAAUCUAGGCAGAGGUUCCCAAACCUCAAUUCUUGACUUCUGUGCAGGCACAAGCUCAACACCACAUGGAAGCUGCCAGGGCUUGGGGCUUUCACCCUCUGAAGUCACAGCCCCAGCUGUAUGUUGGCCCCUUUAAGCCAUGGCUGGAGGGGCUGGGACACAGGGCAUCAAGUCCUUAGGUUGCACACAGCACAGGAAUCAUGGGCCCGACCCAGGAAACCACUUUUUCCUCCUGGGCCUCCAGGCCUGUGAAGGGAGUAGCUGCCACGAAGUUCUCUGAUGUGGACUGGAGACAUUUUCCACAUGGUCUUGGGGAUUAACAUUAGGCUUCUUGCUACUUAUACAAACUUCUGCAGCUGGCUUGAAUUACUCCCCAAAAAAUGUUUGUUUGUUUUUUCUAUAGCAUAGUCAAGCUGCAAAUUUUCAAACUUUUAUGCUCUGCUUCCCGUAUAAAACUUAAUGCAUUUAGCAACACCCAAUCACCUCUUGAAUGUUUUGCUCCCUAGAAAUUUCUUCCAACAGAUAGCCUAAAUCAUCUUUUUCAAGUUCAAAGUUUCACAAGCCUCUAGGGCAGGGGCUAAAUGCUGCCAGUCUCUUUGUUUAAACAUAACAAGAGUCACCUUUGCUCCAGUUCCCAACAGGUUCCUCGUCUCCAUCUGAGACCAUCUCAACCUGAAUUUUAUUGUCCAUAUUGCUAUCAGCAUUUUAGGCAAAGCCCUUCAUCAAGUUUCUAGGAAGUUCCAAACUUUUUCACAUUUUGCUGUCUUCUUCUGAGCCCUUCAAACUGUUCCAAUAUCUGCCUGUUACCCAGUUCCAAAGGCACUUCUCCAUUUUCGGGUAUCUUUUUAGCAACACCCCACUCUACUGGUAUGAAUUUACUGUAUUAGUUUGUUUUCAUGCUGCUGAUAAAGACAUACCUGAGAUUGGGAAGAAAAAGCAGUUUAAUUGGACCUACAGUUCCAAAUGGCUAGAGAGGCCUCAGAAUCAUGGCGGGAGGUGAAAGGCACUUCCUACAUGGUGGCAGCAAGAGAAAAUGUGGAAGAUACAAAAGCAGAGAUCCCUGAUAAAACCAUCAGAUCUUGUGAGACUUAUUCCAUACCACGAGAACAGUAUGGGGAAAACCACCACCAUGGUUCAAAUUAUCUCCCACGAAGUCCCUCCUGCAACACAUGGGAAUUACAGGAGUAAAACUCAAGAUGAGAUUUGGGUGGGGACACAGAGCCAAACCCUAUCAGUGGUACAGGUAGUCAUGCUUAUGACCAGGGGAUUGGGUUAUAUUUUGUAAACACCAUUAGAACCACAGAGUGGAAAAGAGGUAGCUCCUCAAAAGAAUGAGGUUGAAUUUAUCAGAAAAAAGUGAAAGUAAUUCUAGACCAAAAAAACGAUGAGAUGUUCACUACACUUUACUUUGAGACUGAGAAUUAUGUUUGUAUAUUAGUAAAAUUAUCCUUCAGCUUCCUUGGUAGAAGAUGUUUUUCACUUUAGAAAAUUGUCAUACCUCUAAUAAAAACUUUGUUAUUAUUUUUAAUCAAAGAAAUAAUUCACAAUGACUGCAAGACUAUAUGCAAAAAUAAUACUGUUAAUUAAGAGAAUUAUAACAGUUAAUGUGGUCUGGAAAAUAAUCACUGAACAUCAUCUGGGUGUUUAAUUAACACUUAUAGUGUGUUACUUUUUAUUCCAUGAUAAUUAAUCCAUUAGCAAUUCUAUUGGUUCAAAUAAAGAAACUAAUUACUUUAAAUUUUCAUGCCUACAAAGGAAUAAAAUGCAUUGCUGUUAUUAUUGGAUUUGCCUUUUGUUACAGUAAUACAAGUAAUAUGCCAUCUAAUUUUCUUUUAAUUAAAAAAG